GAGAUUUCAACACCCCACUCUCAUCAAUGGACAGAUCAUGGAAACAGAAAUUAAACAGUGAUGUCGACAGACUAAGAGAAGUCAUGAGCCAAAUGGACUUAACGGAUAUUUAUAGAACAUUCUAUCCUAAAGCAAAAGGAUAUACCUUCUUCUCAGCUCCUCAUGGUACUUUCUCCAAAAUUGACCAUAUAAUUGGUCAAAAAACGGGCCUCAACAGGUACAGAAAGAUAGAAAUAAUCCCAUGCGUGCUAUCGGACCACCACGGCCUAAAACUGGUCUUCAAUAACAAUAAGGGAAGAAUGCCCACAUAUACGUGGAAAUUGAACAAUGCUCUACUCAAUGAUAACCUGGUCAAGGAAG
rnacentral:lncRNA from 1 species